CACCGCGGUUAAACGGGAGGCCCAAGUUGACAGACAGCGGCGUAAAGCGUGGUUAAGAUACUUAUUAAAUAGGGCCGAAUAGUCUCAAGGCAGUCAAAUAUAUCCGAGACCACGAAGCACAUCCACGAAGGUGGCCCUAACACCCACUGACCCCACGAAAGCCAUAACA
rnacentral:rRNA from 1 species